rnacentral:lncRNA from 1 species
GGGUCGGUGGUUCUGAGAUGUAUAAGAAAGCAGACUGAACAAUCCAGCAAGGAGCAAACCAGUAAGCAACACUCCUCUAUGGCCUCUGCUUUGGUUUCUGCCUUCAGGUCCCUGUCUCAAUUUCCCUCAGUGAUGGAGUGUGAAAGUUGUUUUGGUCAUGGUGUUUAUCACAGCAAUAGACGUUCUAAGGCUAGGGUCAACUGGGAAGAAAGAACAUCAAUUGGGAAAAUGCCUACCUCCAUCAGAUUGGCCUAUAGGUAUGUCUGGGUGUAGAUUUUCUUAAUUGAUGUGGG